GCUCUGCUCUGCCCGUGCCCGGCUGUACUCUGCUGCGUCUUUAUCCUCCUUUGCAAUGUUGCACUGCACUCGCUCUCACUCUCUGUCUCUCUCUGGCACUCUCCCGCUCACCGGCCGGCUGGGCUGCUCUCCUCUAGGCGGCGACAGACUAUUUAGACUGCAAUUUCUGCAUCUCCCUCUCUCUGGCAGUCUAGCACUCUAGCACCUCCAACCUGUAACUCGAAUGCAAAUCGGCCGCCUCUGAAUAUUUCCAACUUUACCAGAUUGAAUGACCCAAGAAGAAGAAGAAAUGAUUUUAUUUUCUAAAAAUACAAUCUUUUUGGCUCCGAGAAGCAGUUGGAAAUUAAUGCUGUGGCGUAUAGGCCAGGGGUCGGCACGUACAAUAUACAUAUGUACAUAUGCAUAUCCACAUGCAAUGACAACCAGUGCUAACACGUGUACGUGAGCGGCAACGCACUUUCCUAUGCACAUUAGACAGGGCCUUGCCGACCGCUGGCAUAGACUUUGGAAUCCGGUACCAAAUGAUACGAAAUACAUGACAAUUAAAGCUUAAUAAUAGCAAAAAAAUAACAAGAGGAAGAGAUAUUUAACAAUAAAUCAAUUCCAAUGUGUGGUAUCAACAAUUAAUGUCAGAUUAAAUAACACUGUAGGAUAAAUAUUGUAAACAAAUAAGAUAUCAAUCCGACUCUUGUGCUGGAUCCGACCACGUUGCGCUUGAAUAUAUU